rnacentral:misc_RNA from 1 species
GAUGAAGAACGUAGCGAAAUGCGAUAAGUAAUGUGAAUUGCAGAAUUCAGUGAAUCAUCGAAUCGUUGAACGCACAUUGCGCCCGCCAGUAUUCUGGCGGGCAUGCCUGUUCGAGCGUCAUUACAACCCUCAGGCCCCCGGGCCUGGCGUUGGGGAUCGGCGGAGCCCCCCGUGGGCACACGCCGUCCCCCAAAUGCAGUGGCGGUCCCGCCGCAGCUUCCAUCGCGUAGUAGCUAACACCUCGCGACUGGAGAGCGGCGCGGCCACGCCGUAAAACACCCAACUCUUCUGAAGUUGACCUCGAAUCAGGUAGGAAUACCCGCUGAACUUAAGCAUAUCAAUAAGCGGAGGA